rnacentral:lncRNA from 1 species
CGCACAGCAAGUUAAUAAUAAGGUGAGAAAACAGAAGCUCCAGAAAUUAAUUAGUCCUCCCCAGCUAUAACUGCUGGUAAGCAGUACUUUGUAUGAAGCCGAUGUUCUCAAACUGUGUCUUGCUGCCAUCCAUCAAUUGCAACAGCCCGGAGUUGUCAUAAUAGCAGCAGUACUUUAAAAUUUGGACAGCAAUUUGAACUAUAGACAAAAGUCACUAUAGCCUAUAAUGGACUGAUACAACAAAAACUUCCACAAAGGACACAUUGGACAUGGUUAGGGAAGAAAGGACAUGAAUCAAAACAGAAGUGGAGUUUUUUUGUUUCAACACAUAGACAUUUCUCAAUUUCCUCACACAAAUGGAAGCCACUUAUGGGCUAUAAAAUUCAAAAAACAUAUCACACAUGCACAUGCAUGCUUAUAGCAGCACAACUCGCAAUUGCAAAGAUAUGGAACCAACCUAAGUGCCCAUCAACCAACGAGUUGAUAAAGAAAAUGUGGUAUAUACACACCAUGGAAUACUCCUCAGCCAUAAAAAGGAACAAAAUAAUGCUUUUUGCAGGAACCUGGAUGGAGCCGGAGGCUAUGUUUCUAAGUGAAGUGUAAUAACUCAGGAAUGGACAACCAAAUAUUGUAUGUUCUCACUCAUAAGUGGGAGCUAAGCUAUGAGGAUGCAAAGGCAUAAGAAUGAUAAAAUGGACUUUGGGGACUUCGGGGAGGUGGGGAUGGGGAUGAGGGAUAAAAGUCUACACAUUGGGUAUAGUCUACACUGCUUGGGAGAUAGGUGGAUCCAAAUCUCAGAAAUUACCACCAAAGAACUUAUCCAUGUGCCCCCAAAACCACCCAUACCCCAGAAAUUAUUGAAAUAAAAAUAAAAAAUAAUUAUUAAAACCAAACCAAAACAAACCAAAAUAUGACACUGUGGUACAUAAAUAGUUUGGUUUAAAUUGGAUUCAGUUUAAGAUUUUUGAUAUUAGAAUUAAAUAUAGUUUCCUUUCUGAUAUAACAGAAAGUGUAAAUACCUCAAACAAACAAGAUGAUGAAGGCAGCUUAUGAAUAAGUAACACAAAAAUCCUCCCAAAUAAUUUCACCUAUCAGGGUCUUUUUUCUAGAGCCAGUGUGCAUAGAAGAAUACCUCAACUUGACUGGUUAGAAUAAGCCUUAUGUCCAAAUACACGUGUUUUCAUCUAUAUUUGUUGAUUGUGCCCUUCUUGAAUUGGGGUGAAAGAAAGAUCGUAGAUGACUUCUUGCUCCAUAGCCAAAUAUAUGGAGAAGUAAAAAUAAAAAAAGAAUUUAUUGGAUAAACAGAUGAUGAUCAUUAUAUCAAUAGAAAUUGGAAAAGAAGCUUUGAUGUAAUUUAUUCAUUCACCCAAUUCACUGUAUUCUGAGUUUAGAAAAAUAGUACAAGAUAAAAAUUAUUUCAAUAUAUAAUCAUUCCCUCCAGAAACUUAAAAUAACAUUAAACAGUAGCUUAAAAGAGCCCAUAAAUAUGUUCUAAAGAGAGAAAAGAAUCAAAGUACAAGAGGAAGUUGAGUCCAAAAGAAGACAUAUGUGUGGGAAGAUGGAAUCACUCCAGACACUCAGCACUGAGGAAGGACACUUGAGCUGCACACCUCAAUGAUUUGCAAAGAUCAGAGCUGCUUAUUGGGGAUUUAAUCUAGCCUGCAGGUAUGUUUUCUUUAGCUAACUCAAUUUUUUUUAAACAUUUUAAAUUAGUUUUACAUAUUUAAAAAUUAGGAAACUGCACACCAAAUUCCAGUGUCCCAGCUUCUCUUAAAAAAUUAUAAGAUCCAGUCACUCUGGGUCUGCAUUUUGUCAUGGCCUGGAGCUGUAGCAUUGGAGUUUGUCACCUGGGUGUAGAAAUAACAGAAAAGCAGGUGCAGUGAUAAGCACGAAGGAAAUUCGCCAGGGGCCUUCAGACUAAUCUGACUAGGACACAGGGCUUUCAGGGAGAAAACUUUGAAAAGAUCAGUUGGAACCAAACUAAAGGCAUUUGGAAGUUAAAGGCAGGCAAUUUGGAUUUAUCUGAAAGGUUCUUCCCACUAUGUCCCCAUAGAUUAUUCUUAUUUUAUGACUUGAGCUGAAGUUUCUGAGGUUAAAAUCAAAUAAUGUCAGAAUUUUUCAACUUGUUCAAAACAUAAUUAAUAGGGACUUUUCUUCACCCCAUUUUUUUUUUGCAAUUUUUCUAUCCAAAAUACUUUUCUUGAAAUUUGGCACCCACUGCUUGUGUUCAUCUGCUAGCAAAUGUUAGUCCAUGUCAAUAUGUGAAGAUAGCCAAGGAUGAUUUAUUCCAAAAUAUAGACUUAGUUGAUUGCGUUUAGUCUAACAGCUUUUGCUUUCUUGAGAUCUUUCCCUUAGAGUUUAUAUUUUAUAGUACAUAUCACACAGUCUGUUAAAAAAUAUUGCUUCUAAUUUGAAUAAUUAACAUUUCAUAGUUUUCUGUGAACAGCACGGUAUUUAUCUAAAGGAGAGAGAAGGAUAUAAGAUUUUUGAGCCUCUAUCAAGUGCCAGGUGUUGUGCUAAAUGCUCUAUAUGUAAUAUCUGAUUUUAUUCUCUCCACAAAUGCUUCAGAUUAGGGGACAAAGUCUCCAAGAGGACAUGCACUCUACCCAAAGAUGCAUAGAUAGCUACUAAGGGCAGGAUCGGGAUUUAACCUCAGGCAUGUCUGAAGCUAAAGUACUUGCUUUUUUUUUUUUUUUUUUUUUUUUUAAUUUAUGACAUUCCUGGAGCAACGUGACUUAGUUAUUCUUGAACUUGAAUACAUUUGAGAAUCAUGACUGUAGGCAAUUGGGAGCCACUGACUGUCUUUGUUCCUUAUUGUGUGUGCAUUUUUUGUUGUUGUUGUUAAAUAAUCCAGUAUCCUGUAUUUUGAAAGGGUGGAUUUGGUAUUGCAGUGUAGGAUUGGUAACACAGAACAACUGAGGCAGGAAUACUGACACAUUGAAGAUAAAUGGUGCCCAAAGAC